UUUCCGUAGGUGAACCUGCGGAAGGAUCAUUAUCGUACAAAAUGUGAGGAGCAUGCGAGGGCUGUCGCUGACCCAAAAGUCGUGCACGCCCGAGUGUGUCCUCUUGCAUAAUAGUCCAUCUCACCCUUUGUGCACCACCGCGUGGGUCCCCCUUUGGCUUGUUCGGAGGGGGGCUUACGUUUUCACACAAACUUUGUAUGCAGUGUAGAAUGUAUUUUUUGUUUUUGCGAUCACGCAAUCAAUACAACUUUCAACAACGGAUCUCUUGGCUCUC
rnacentral:misc_RNA from 1 species